rnacentral:rRNA from 1 species
UACGUAGGGUGCGAGCGUUAAUCGGAAUUACUGGGCGUAAAGCGUGCGCAGGCGGUUAUUUAAGACAGAUGUGAAAUCCCCGGGCUCAACCUGGGAACUGCAUUUGGGACUGUAAGGCUAGAGUGUGUCAGAGGGAGGUGGAAUUCCACGUGUAGCAGUGAAAUGCGUAGAUAUGUGGAGGAACAUCGAUGGCGAAGGCAGCCUCCUGGGAUAACACUGACGCUCAUGCACGAAAGCGUGGGGAGCAAACAGG